rnacentral:lncRNA from 1 species
CCUUAUCCUACUCCUCCCCCUCCGUGUCCCCCAACAUUUCCACCAAAACACCCUCCACAUGUAAAGCCACCUUUCCACCCCAAACCACCGCAUCACAAGCCACCCCAUGUCAAACCACCGCACAAGCCCCCGUAUGUUCCUAAACCACCUUAUUCCCCAAGCCCUAAACCGCCUUACGUGCCAAAACCACCUCAUACUCCAGUCCCUAGGCCACCAUAUUUCCCCAAACCACCUUACACACCAAGGCCUAAGCCACCAUAUGCGCCAAAACCACCUUAUACGCCAACCCCUAAGCCACCAUAUUUCCCCAAACCACCUUACACACCAAGGCCGAAGCCACCAUAUGUGCCAAAACCACCUUAUACGCCAGCCCCUAAGCCACCAUAUUUUCCCAAACCACCUUACACACCAAGGCCUAAGCCACCAUAUGCACCAAAACCACCUUAUACGCCAACACCUAAGCCACCAUAUUUCCCCAAACCACCUUACACACCAAGGCCUAAGCCACCGUACGUGCCAAAACCACCGUACACACCAAGGCCUAAGCCACCGUACGUGCCAAAACCACCAUACACACCAACCCCUAAGCCACCGUACGUGCCAAAACCACCUUACACCCCAACCCCUAAGCCACCGUACGUGCCAAAACCACCGUAUACCCCAACUCCUAAGCCACCGUACGUCCCAUCGCCACCUUAUACCCCUCGCCCUAAACCACCGUAUGUACCAUCACCACCUUAUACCCCUAGCCCUAAACCACCGUAUGUGCCAUCACCACCAUAUACCCCAAGCCCUACCCCACCAUAUGUACCAUCACCACCGUAUACCCCAAGCCCACCAUAUGUACCAUCACCACCGUAUACCCCAAGCCCUAGCCCACCACCACCACCAAGUGGAACACCGUGUCCUCCGCCGCCGCCACCAAAGGUGAGACCGUACCCUCCACCACCAUCACAAACUUGUCCCAUUGAUACUCUCAAGCUUGGUGCAUGCGUCGACGUGUUGGGCGGUCUAAUACACAUCGGUAUAGGCAGCAGUGCAAAGGACGCUUGCUGCCCCGUGCUGCAGGGGCUACUGGACUUGGAUG